CAGUUGAAUACAGAUGAGAGUUUGAGUCCAUUGGAAUUGUCCCUAAACAUUUGGGUUUUGGUAACACUGAUAAGUGGAAUUUCAUUGAAGUGUAGCCAAAUGGCAGUAGAUUAAAAUGUGAAUAAGAGAAAAAAGUGGAGUGAAAAGUGUAUGAAUACACAUCUUUUGAGAAGUUUGACUAUAAAGAAUAGCAGAUAAAUAGAAUGUGACAGCUUAAAAAAGUUCUCUCUUCCUCUUUCCAAAAGAUAUUUGAAAGACUAAAUUUUAGGAACCAAGUCUAGAGGAGCUGACACUAUCUGGGACAUGCAAUUCUCAAGUGGAUGGAUGGAAUAUGAGUGUUUGAAUGUGAAUAUUGCAGCAAUCAAGCUUUUGCUAUGCAGAGAAGGAAUAUGAAAAGGAAUUAAAGAUCAGAUGCUGAGAAUAUUGAAGACAUGAGCAAUUUCCUAAUUUUCCUUUUGUGUCUAACCUAUUUCACUUGGCACCAGCAACUGAUUGUUAAAAUGAUAAAGUCUCAGCACCAAGAAUGUUGGUAAUAAUCCCCAUUUCGUCACUCAUUUGUGUUCAUCAUAUUUUUUCCCAUCAUGUGAGCAUAAUUUCCUCUGAUAGGUGUGUUCGUGAAUUCAUUUCAUGUACCUCUUUUGUGUCAACAAGCAUAAUAAAAAGCUAACCAAAAUUUGA